rnacentral:rRNA from 1 species
AUGGUUGUCACACAUGCGUCCUGUCCCAAUGGCUCAAAUUGUUGGUCCUCGCAUGGCAAUGUCCCUGCUUGUAUUCAUGGAGUUGGUCAGCAACUCUCUUAUGGCCAGCAACCUCCAACGUUUAUUAACCCUCUGCAGACGAGCCUUCCAAAAUACGGGUCAUCUUGUCUGAUGGUCUCCUCUCCUGCCCUCGCCGCCGCCGGAGAAGCUCGCCUCCGCGCCCACAAGCCUCGGAUUCGGCGGGAUCCAGGACGAGGAGGGGUGGAUGAGAUGGGGGAGGAGGAGGAGGAGAGCGUGGGGGCGUCUGGGGAGGAAUAUCCCCGCCGCCUCCUCCGCUCGUGA